rnacentral:rRNA from 1 species
GCAAGUCGAGGGGCAGCAUAUCGCUUCGGUGAUGAUGGCGACCGGCGCACGGGUGAGUAUCGCGUUUGCAACCUACCCUUAACUGGGGGAUAGCCCGAAGAAAUUCGGAUUAAUACCCCAUAAUAUUUAAGAACGGCAUCGUUCUUUCAUUAAAGCUCCGGCGGUUAAGGAUGGGCAUGCGUGACAUUAGUUUGUUGGUGAGGUAACGGCUCACCAAGACUACGAUGUCUAGGGGGUCUGAGAGGAUGAUC